AACGAUAACCACACAGCAGCAAGGAAGUUCAAAGUUGUAGGUUAGAAGCGGGCAAUCCAAAACCCGAAAACCACCAAACUGUCACGGAGGGUCCAGGAAGCGUCUGUCUUCAGCUAUCCGAGCCAUCACUGGCAGUGGAACGUCUUCAAUCCGGUCGGAAUCUUCAUUUCCCAGACUUGCCUCAGAAUCUAAGAAAGGAUCUUUAGCACCACGGAACGAGCAUCGCCUUCAAAACUCACUCUCGUGAAACCCAUGCCUUGGGUAAAUUCCAAAGCAUGAAGAGUCGCCCAGCCUCCGCAGCAAAUGCCGAGGUACAUGGAAUCAAAGUUUGCCUUUACAAAACCAGGAGGGGGAGCCCAAUCCAUCCACCUACACAGUCGUAGCAGAGUUGUAAUCGAGGCAAUGAGAUCUAACGAAGCAUUCCUCGUGAUGUACUUCUUCAGUAGAGACUUAAGAAAUGUCGAUGUUGAAGCUGAGACUUGGUGAGAAGACUGCCCUUGAAAAUUUUCCUGAUUAUUGUGUUAUUGUUGUGGCAUUGCUUGAUGAUGUUGAAACAUUGGUUGCA